rnacentral:tRNA from 1 species
CGGGGCAUAGCGUAGCAGUCUAACGCGCUUGCUUUGGGAGCAAGAGAUCCUGGGUGCGAAUCCCAGUGCCCCGA